CGGUCCUAAGGUAGCGAAAUUCCUUGUCGGGUAAGUUCCGACCUGCACGAAUGGCGUAAUGAUGGCCAGGCUGUCUCCACCCGAGACUCAGUGAAAUUGAACUCGCUGUGAAGAUGCAGUGUACCCGCGGCAAGACGGAAAGACCCCGUGAACCUUUACUAUAGCUUGACACUGAACAUUGAGCCUUGAUGUGUAGGAUAGGUGGGAGGCUUUGAAGUGUGGACGCCAGUCUGCAUGGAGCCGACCUUGAAAUACCACCCUUUAAUGUUUGAUGUUCUAACGUUGACCCGUAAUCCGGGUUGCGGACAGUGUCUGGUGGGUAGUUUGACUGGGGCGGUCUCCUCCUAAAGAGUAACGGAGGAGCACGAAGGUUGGCUAAUCCUGGUCGGACAUCAGGAGGUUAGUGCAAUGGCAUAAGCCAGCUUGACUGCGAGCGUGACGGCGCGAGCAGGUGCGAAAGCAGGUCAUAGUGAUCCGGUGGUUCUGAAUGGAAGGGCCAUCGCUCAACGGAUAAAAGGUACUCCGGGGAUAACAGGCUGAUACCGCCCAAGAGUUCAUAUCGACGGCGGUGUUUGGCACCUCGAUGUCGGCUCAUCACAUCCUGGGGCUGAAGUAGGUCCCAAGGGUAUGGCUGUUCGCCAUUUAAAGUGGUACGCGAGCUGGGUUUAGAACGUCGUGAGACAGUUCGGUCCCUAUCUGCCGUGGGCGCUGGAGAACUGAGGGGGGCUGCUCCUAGUACGAGAGGACCGGAGUGGACGCAUCACUGGUGUUCGGGUUGUCAUGCCAAUGGCACUGCCCGGUAGCUAAAUGCGGAAGAGAUAAGUGCUGAAAGCAUCUAAGCACGAAACUUGCC
rnacentral:rRNA from 1 species